rnacentral:rRNA from 1 species
UACAGAGGUGGCAAGCGUUGUUCGGAAUUACUGGGCGUAAAGGGCGUGUAGGCGGCCUUCUAAGUCAGACGUGAAAUCCCCCGGCUUAACCUGGGAACUGCGUCUGAUACUGGGAGGCUUGAGUAUGGGAGAGGGAUGUAGAAUUCCAGGUGUAGCGGUGAAAUGCGUAGAUAUCUGGAGGAAUACCGGUGGCGAAGGCGGCAUCCUGGACCAUUACUGACGCUGAGGCGCGAAAGCUAGGGGAGCAAACAGG